rnacentral:tmRNA from 1 species
GGGGAUGUUUAGUUUCGACGGAAACUGGCUCUUUUAAAACUGCAAGCCGGCCAUGAUCUUGAAGCCGUAAAAUCAGGUCAAAAGAUAAACGGCAAUAAACAAGCCGCUUUUAAUUACGCUUUUGCCUAAUAAGUAAAUUCGUAAUCGCUGAUUAAACUUUCGCCUGACGAGGUUUUUUCGGUGCAAACACAGUUAGGAUGCGUUUUACCAGACCGAUUCCCUGGUAAAAUUAAGAUGAAAGAAUCUUAGUUUCAGUAUUCCCCGUUGAUAGGUUAAGGCUGAAACGAGCAUUAAAGGUCAACUAAGCUUGUAGAAGUUUUAUAGAAACAUUUUCGGAUCCGGGCGCACAUCCCGGCAUCUCCACCA